rnacentral:lncRNA from 1 species
GGAGGGGCCACCUGCUCUCUGUGGCCUGUAUUCUUACGAGGAGCUCCCCUCCUGGAAGGAAGGCACCCGGGGGCUGGAGUCCUGACUCCAGACACCUCUCUCCCCUCUCCAGGAAGUGCAGAAGAGGAAGGCCCUUUAAAAGAGACAGCCCAACUGGUUGAAGAUUAGAGCAAGAGGAAAGGUCCCCGCUGACUAUCAUUUUAGUUCUUCUGUCCCUGUGAACUGAAGUUUCACUGUCCUGGGUUCCUCAUCUAAGCAGAACACAGUUGUGAUGGGUUUCAACUGCUUGCCUACAGUUUGAGACCAAGGAACCAGCCUGGGGACAAAUGAGUGUUGAAGCAACACAAUUCUAACACAAGGUACCAGGAGAAGCCUGGAGACUUGGGCCUAUGUUGAGCACGUGGUCAAAUGAAUAAAGGACUUUAAAUAACAGCUGGGA